UUAGCAGUCCUUAAUGAUUUCCAAAAUGAACUUAGAUCUACAUAAAAAUCAGGUUGUUCUUGCAUGGUUAGCAUCUCUAAAGCUUUUUAGCCCCCGCCCCCAACAAUCUGCAACAUGCUACAUGCUCCUCGCGUGAAAGAUGCCUGUCUACUUUAAGUACAAAAUAAUCUUUUGUCGAGAGUAUAGCUGAAGUAUGCUUUAAGAAACGGCUUAUCGCUGACAUCAGGGUCCCUUCCCUUCUACGCACUUAUUCUUUAUAUUUGAAAUUUCAAAGCUUCUCAUCUUUAUGACAACAAAUCUUUUGUACUAGCUGUUCAAAGUAGUUGCAUGGUUAUACUAUAAGCACCACUCUGGUGAGAGCGGUGCUUAUAAAAUGUAAUGUAAUAGAAUGUAAUAGUAUCUGCUAAACAAGCGGAAGUAAGAUUAAGUGAUUACGAGGCUGCAGGUUUCUUUCAAAUAAUGGAUUAGCAGAAGCAAGCGUUGUUUUAUAUUGUUUGGUGGAAACAAAGAAACACAUACAUGUCCAGUCCAGCUCAAAAUGGCUACCAGAGGCACGCUUAUCAAAGGACUCAAGAUUGCGUCUGUCUAUUCGGCAGGGCUGUUUGCGGGGGGAGUCGUUUUCAUGCGUGCAGUGGAUACCCCAACAAGAUUUUCUAUGGCUAAAGAAUUACCAGACGGCCACAAAACAGCAAUGAGACACUUUAGAUUCAUGCAUAAUCAUGUAGAGAAGAUGCAAGUUCCACUCAUCAUAGCUGCAAUGACCGGAUCAACAUCGGUAUUCUUUUUAUCAAAAGGCGCUCCAAAGCGAUCGUACUGGCUUGCCAGCUCUGCAGUCCUGGGUCUUAUCCUGCCUCUAACUAGAGCCCACAUAAAUCCAAGAUAUCGUGUGCCAAUGUGCCAAAACACAGAGGAAAUAGCAUCUAAAGGCCCAGAACAUGUACACGGUAUGUUUACAGGUUGGUCAAAGGGUCACAGUAUUAGAGCGUUGUUUGGGGCUACAGGGUUCUUCAUAAUGGUGACUGCUCUGGUGUAGAGACGCAGAAAAGAACCUCGGCAAAGAUGUAAUUUUCAAGACUGUCGUUAAAAAUUAGUUUAUCAGUAUUUGUUAAUUAUUGUAUCUAAUAUAUGGAAAUAAAAUAACAAUUGUAGACUGUUGAAACCUUUAUUUCAAAAUAAAAAUUAUCCAAGGGAAAGUUAGCCAAAUAACGUGUCCGUUAUGUGGAAGAAGACCUCUAAUUUUUAAGAGAAAGAGUAAUAAUACUUGUAUGCUUAAUACCAAUUAUUAACUACCAUACAAUGUGCCUAAAGUUUCUUCAGCUAACAUCACUGCUUGAACUGCAAUGAUAAGGUCCAUUAGAUGAUUG